rnacentral:lncRNA from 1 species
AUUAGGACCUCCUGCUGUGUCCACUUGGUAACUGUGGCGUUUGUUGCAGGGACUGCUGACCUUCAGGGAUGUGGCCGUCGAAUUCUCUCAGGAGGAGUGGGGAUGCCUGAACCACAGUCAGUGGGAACUGUACAGAGAUGUGAUGUUAGAGACCUACGGACACCUCGUCUUCUUGGGUGAGGCUAACUCCCUCUAGAUUUCCCAAGUGCCACUCAAGGGUUUUGUUCCUUCCUGUGGAGACUGUCUCUUAGAAGCUUUCUCUCGCAUGCCUGGGAUUCAAAUCCCUUCAGUAAAGAAAGAAGAAGGGGUUGGCAGAUGUAGAGGAAAGUCUUCAUGAUGUUUCCUUUCAGGUCUUGUGUGAAAGCCAGACCUGGUCAUCUUUUUGGAACAAAAGAGGGAGCUAUGGGAUGUGAAGAGAAAGGAGACAGUAGCCUCAUACCCAGCUGUAUUUCCAAAUGAAACUGACAGCCUCCUUUCAGAGACGUUUAUAGGAACUUCUAUCCAAAGAGUGUCAGUGGAUGGAUAUAAAGGUAGUGUCCUUGAGGAUGGACACUUAAUGAGGGACCGGAAAAAGGAUGGGGACAGUGAGGGGCCUCAAGCACACCUGGGGACUCCUAUUCCAGACUAGGAUGGUGAAUGGCAUCCAUGUGGGGAGGUCUCUGAUCAAAGCGCCAACCUCAUUACACGUAAGAGUAUACAUUUAGGAGAGAAUCACACUAAAUAUGACGCAUGUGGGGAAAUACUUA